rnacentral:rRNA from 1 species
CCUCCCGGGGUGGCCAGCCUUGCUGAAUUAUUCCACCCGUGUCUUUUGCGUACUUCUUGUUUCCUUGGUGGGCUCGCCCACCACAAGGACCAACCCAUAAACCUUUUUGCAAUGGCAAUCAGCGUCAGUAACAAUGUAAUAAUUUACAACUUUCAACAACGGAUCUCUUGGUUCUGGCAUCGAUGAAGAACGCAGCGAAAUGCGAUAAGUAGUGUGAAUUGCAGAAUUCAGUGAAUCAUCGAAUCUUUGAACGCACAUUGCGCCCUUUGGUAUUCCAAAGGGCAUGCCUGUUCGAGCGUCAUUUGUACCCUCAAGCUUUGCUUGGUGUUGGGCGUCUUUUUGUCUCCCCUUGCGGGAGACUCGCCUUAAAGUCAUUGGCAGCCGGCCUACUGGUUUCGGAGCGCAGCACAAGUCGCGCUCUCUUCCAGCCCCAAGGUCUAGCAUCCACCAAGCCUUUUUUUUCAACUUUUGACCUCGGAUCAGGUAGGGAUACCCGCUGAACUUAAGCAUAUCAA